UGGACCACAAGACGAUAAACCAGCGAGG
rnacentral:piRNA from 1 species